rnacentral:rRNA from 1 species
UACGAAGGGGGCUAGCGUUGCUCGGAAUCACUGGGCGUAAAGCGCACGUAGGCGGAUCGUUAAGUCAGGGGUGAAAUCCUGGAGCUCAACUCCAGAACUGCCUUUGAUACUGGCGAUCUCGAGUUCGGGAGAGGUGAGUGGAACUGCGAGUGUAGAGGUGAAAUUCGUAGAUAUUCGCAAGAACACCAGUGGCGAAGGCGGCUCACUGGCCCGAUACUGACGCUGAGGUGCGAAAGCGUGGGGAGCAAACAGG